rnacentral:rRNA from 1 species
CCUACGGGUGGCAGCAGUGGGGAAUAUUGCACAAUGGGGGAAACCCUGAUGCAGCGACGCCGCGUGAGUGAAGAAGUAAUUCGUUAUGUAAAGCUCUAUCAGCAGGGAAGAAAAUGACGGUACCUGAGUAGAAACCCCCGGCUACCUCGGUCCCAGAAGCCGCGGUAAUACGUAGGGGGAAGGCGUAAUCCGGAUUUACUGGGUGUAAGGGGAGCGUAGACGGCAGUGCAAGUCUGGAGUGAAAGGCGGGGGCUCAACCCCCGGACUGCUCUGGAAACUGUACGGCUGGAGUGCAGGAGAGGUAAGUGGAAUUCCUAGUGUAGCGGUGAAAUGCGUAGAUAUUAGGAGGAACACCAGUGGCGAAGGCGGCUUACUGGACUGUAACUGACGUUGAGGCUCGAAAGCGUGGGGAGCAAACAGGAUUAGAUACCCCAGUAGUC